rnacentral:rRNA from 1 species
GAGGAAUAUUGGUCAAUGGGCGCGAGCCUGAACCAGCCAAGUAGCGUGCAGGAUGACGGCCCUAUGGGUUGUAAACUGCUUUUGUAUGGGGAUAAAGUCAAUCACGUGUGAUUGUUUGCAGGUACCAUACGAAUAAGGACCGGCUAAUUCCGUGCCAGCAGCCGCGGUAAUACGGAAGGUCCGGGCGUUAUCCGGAUUUAUUGGGUUUAAAGGGAGCGUAGGCCGGAGAUUAAGUGUGUUGUGAAAUGUAGACGCUCAACGUCUGACUUGCAGCGCAUACUGGUUUCCUUGAGUACGCACAACGUUGGCGGAAUUCGUCGUGUAGCGGUGAAAUGCUUAGAUAUGACGAAGAACUCCGAUUGCGAAGGCAGCUGACGGGAACGCAACUGACGCUUAAGCUCGAAGGUGCGGGUAUCGAACAGGAUUAGAUACCCUGGUAGUCCGCACAGUAAACGAUGGAUGCCCGCUGUUGGUACCUGGUAUCAGCGGCUAAGCGAAAGCAUUAAGCAUCCCACCUGGGGAGUACGCCGGCAACGGUG